rnacentral:tRNA from 1 species
CUGGAAAUAGCUUAAGAUUUUAAAGCUUGGAAUUCUUGCUUCCAUGAUGUUUUUUAACUUUCUAGG